AUGCUGAGAAAGUUCUUUUGGGGUAGCAAAGAAGGGAAGAGGAAGGUUGCAUGGGUGUCUUGGGAGAUUCUGACGAUGCCAAAAUAUCAAGGAGGUUUAGGAUUCCGGGAUACUCAACUUUUUAACUUGGCCAUGCUGGCCAAACAAGCUUGCAGGCUUGUGCAAGAUCCAGACUCGCUCAGUGCAAAGCUUCUCAAAGCGGUGUACUAUCUAGAUAACGAUGUACUGCAGGCUGAGCUAGGAAGCAACCCCUCCCAGGUGUGGAGGGCGAUCCAGGGGGGGUUGGGGUGCUGA
rnacentral:rRNA from 1 species